GGGCCGGUGGUGUAGCUUGGUAGCACGUCUCCCUGUCACGGAGAAGAUCACGGGUUCAAAUCCCGUCCGGCCCG
rnacentral:tRNA from 1 species